UACUAAGUAUUUAAAGAAGAAUAAACCAUAGAAAUCGAUUUCAUAUUUCAAUUGGUCAUGAUACCACCCUAUCAAGACAAAAGUAGCUUCAAUAAAUAUAUCAAUACAAAUUUCAUACAACGAUGAGAUUGAUAUUAAUAAUCGUUAUUUUCCUCUUUCACAUCAAUCUUCUUCAUGCUUUCUCUUUAUCUUCUCGAUUUCUCCGUCCUCGAGUGCAUUUGGGUGAUGAAAUUGUGACGAACAAUAAACGUGGAGGUGGUGCGGCUAGUGGGCACGCUAGUGCCCACGGCAGCUCGUCCAGGGGACGAGCAUCGCGCGGCGGGCAAUCAACUGCAGGUGUAGUUCCAUUGUAUACAGCAGGAGCUAUGAACCAUCACAAAGUUAAUAGAAGCCAUCACCAUGCAAAUGACGGAAUUACCCUCAAUUGUAUUUGUUUUUCUACUUUACUUUUCAUCAUUUGUAGCAUAUUUGUUAAUAUAUUAUUUAUUUUGUAAUUAUAUAUAGUAUAUUUUGUUAGAGAUAAUAGUCAGAAACAUAUGUGAAAUAUCAUUUUCUUUUUACGAGUUUUUUUAUGUAAA